rnacentral:lncRNA from 1 species
GAAUGGUAGAUCAAAGGGUUCAUUAUAUAUUUUAAACACACAAGAGCUCACUAUUUAUAGACAUAAUUUGGCUUUAUUCAAAGCUUCACUACUGUUCAUGUGAGGCGUAUGAAAGGGUUCGAUUUGAUUAUUAAUGAUAAGACGCCAGCACGCAAAUGUUAAACAGGAUUAAUUAAAAUUUUAAACUAUAUAUAUAUAUAAUGACUUUAAGAGAGAUGUAAACUUGAUCAGAGUAACGUUAAGAAAGGGGCAGGUCUCAUCAGAAAAUAGUUAUAUAUUAAUAUUCCUCAGACCGAUGGCCCAACG